UAAAAUUUCACUGAAAUUCCACAAUAUCGCUAUUUCAAAAUUUCAAUGAAUUUCGUUAAUUUCAAAAUUCCACAAAUUUUCUUGUAGAAACGUAAAUGGUUUUUUUUUUCGUUAAUGGUUUUUUUUUUCGUAUUUUAACUAUUUUAUUUUAUCUCACUAUCUCGGCUCGGCUUAUAUAGGCUUGGCUCAGCUUCACUUGGCUUACUUCGGCUCAGCUCAGAUAGAGUUGCUAGGCAUUUAUCGGCUCAUUUGAGCUAAAAGCAGUCAAAAUUUAAUUCAACCAAGCCGACAUGAGCUGAGCCACGCCAAUGUAAACUGAGCUAAGCCUACACAAGCUAAGCCGAGCCGUUUUAAGCCGAGCCGAGCCGAGUGUAGUGCAUAUCACAUGGCCUGUUUUAUCCAUAGAGCCUUCCUCACACAACAUCUUUCACCCAUGGAUGUGGCACCAUUACUCUAAUGGUUGCUUUCACUCAAUUAGAGCCACACUCCCAAGAGUGCAAAAAUAUGAGUACCUAAACACAUAUGAAUAUAUGAGAGCGGAAAUCAAAAAACCAUGCUGCAAGGCUUUUAAAGGCGAUUUAUUCAGCUUCCAAUGCACUCAUGCCAUACGAAUUACACUAUUCUUCAUAUUACAUGUUCAUGUUUGACCUUUGCCCUGAUAGAGCUUUUGUAAUACUUUAUAUUUUGUAUCUCGUUUCAUUUGUGCUUCUCAUACUUGGAAUAUUGGAUUUCUGUUCGUUUCCUAUAUUUUAAUGGAAACUGCUAAAUGCCUUCUCUCUGUUGAAAAUGCAAUUAGUGGAAUACUGAAGCGAGCUUCUAAUGGGGAGGGAGCCUUCAAUUGAUCACUUUUAGUAUCAGAAUGUUGGUCCACUUUUUGGGCAUUGUCAUAGAUUUGGUGCGGUUAUUUUUUGUGCAUGGUUCUUUGAUACUGCAAACAUGAAUAAAACACCCACUUUACUCAUUUAAAAAACAAAUCAGAAAAGGAAAAAAAAGACGGAACUAUAAAUCAAGACCAAAUUUCUUGUUAAUGCUCCUGGAAUGACUGCUUCAUAUAGACACAAGUAUAACUUGAACUUUUUCAUUAAUGUUAACUAAUGGCUUUUCUUAUCCCGCUAGGCUUGCAAGACCUCACCUUGUUUCUAGCACUAGAAGGGCAAGUGAAGGUUUUAGCAGAUUUGGAGGAAAUGCUACACAAAGGGUGCGAAGCCAAUAAGUCCACUAAUGCCCAACAUAGCGUGCUCCCAUGAUGCGGUUAGACUGUUUAGGACAAUAGAGGCUGAGUGAUAACCAACAGUUCUACUGCGGGCAGCUGGACACUUGUGGCAGGUGCUUAAAGCUCAGGGUUUAGCAAUAGCAGGUGUCUAGUGGCGGUGCCACAGAGUUGUUUGAUGAAGUGAUGAAAUUUUGUUGUUAGGCCUGUAGUACGUUGAACAUAAUUGUAAAGAAUUUUUGGAGAAUGUAUAUGUAUAAAAUGGUUUUUCUCUA